AGAGUUUGAUCCUGGCUCAGGACGAACGCUGGCGGCGUGCUUUAUACAUGCAAGUCAAGGAGAACGUAUUCUUCGGAGUACUAGUAAACUGGCGAACGGGUGAGUAACACGUAGGUAACCUGCCCUAGAGACCGGGACAACUUCGGGAAACCGGAGCUAAUACCAGAUAAUGCAGCGGACCCUUUGGGGUACAGUUGUUAAAGCGGGCUUCGGCUCGCACUUUAGGAUGGGCCUGCGUCCGAUUAGCUUGUUGGUGGGGUAAUAGCCUACCAAGGCGAUGAUCGGUAGCUGGUCUGAGAGGAUGAUCAGCCACACUGGGAUUGAGAUACGGCCCAGACCUCUACGGGGGGCAGCAGUAGGGAAUUUUGCGCAAUGGGCGAAAGCCUGACGCAGCAACGCCGCGUGAUCGAUGAAGCUUCUAGGAGCGUAAAGAUCUGUCGUGAGAGAAGAAAAGUUCGAAGGUAAAUAAUUUUCGUUCCUGACAGUAUUUCACAAGAAAGCACCGGCUAACUUCGUGCCAGCAGCCGCGGUAAUACGAGGGGUGCUAGCGUUGUCCGGAAUCAUUGGGCGUAAAGGGUCCGUAGGCGGUUUGACAAGUCAAUUGUUAAAUACAUCGGCUUAACCGAUGGAAUGCAGUUGAAACUGUUAGAAUAGAGUUUAGGAGAGGAAAGUGGAAUUUCUGGUGUAGCGGUGACAUGCGUAGAUAUCAGAAGGAACACCAAUGGCGAAGGCAACUUUCUGGCCUAAAACUGACGCUGAGGGACGAAAGCGUGGGGAGCGAACAGGAUUAGAUACCCUGGUAGUCCACGCCGUAAACGAUGAGUACUUGUUGUCGGGAGAUUCGACCCUCUCGGUAGCGGAACUAACGCGU
rnacentral:rRNA from 1 species